rnacentral:rRNA from 1 species
UACGUAGGGCGCAAGCGUUGUCCGGAAUUAUUGGGCGUAAAGAGCUCGUAGGCGGCCUGUUGCGUCCGCUGUGAAAUCCCGGGGCUCAACCCCGGGCCUGCAGUGGAUACGGGCUGGCUAGAGGCAGGCAGGGGAGAACGGAAUUCCUGGUGUAGCGGUGAAAUGCGCGGAUAUCAGGAGGAACACCGGUGGCGAAGGCGGUUCUCUGGGCCUGUACUGACGCUGAGGAGCGAAAGCGUGGGGAGCGAACAGG